rnacentral:rRNA from 1 species
UUGAACGCUGGCGGCAGGCCUAACACAUGCAAGUCGAGCGGAACGGACACUUUCGGUGGGGCGUCGAGCGGCGACGGGUUGAGUAAUGCAUAGAAAUUGCCCAACGGUGGGGAUAACCCGGGAAACUUCGGGCUAAUACCGCAUAAUCUCUACGGAGCAAAGUGGAGGAUCCCUUCGGGACUUUCACGCCGAUGGAUGAGCCUAUGUCUGAUUAGCUUGUUGGUGAGGUAAUGGCUCACCAAGGCGACGAUCAGUAGCUGGUCUGAGAGGAUGAUCAGCCACACCGGGACUGAGACACGGCCCGGACUCCUACGGGAGGCAGCAGUGGGGAAUAUUGGACAAUGGGCGCAAGCCUGAUCCAGCCAUGCCGCGUGUGUGAAGAAGGCCCUAGGGUUGUAAAGCACUUUAAGCUGGGAAGAAAAAGCCUCGGUUAAUACCCGUGGCCUUGACGGUACCAGCAGAAUAAGCACCGGCUAACUUCGUGCCAGCAGCCGCGGUAAUACGAAGGGUGCAAGCGUUAAUCGGAAUUACUGGGCGUAAAGCGUGCGUAGGCGGUUACGUGUGUCAGAUGUGAAAGCCCUGGGCUCAACCUGGGAAUUGCAUUUGAAACUGCGUGACUAGAGUAUGGUAGAGGAAGAUGGAAUUCCACGUGUAGCGGUGAAAUGCGUAGAUAUGUGGAGGAACACCAAUGGCGAAGGCAGUCUUCUGGGCCAAUACUGACGCUGAGGCACGAAAGCGUGGGGAGCAACCAGGAUUAGAUACCCUGGUAGUCCACGCCGUAAACGAUGAUAACUAGCUGUCCGGGCACUUGGUGCUUGGGUGGCGCAGCUACUAGCAUUAACUUAUCAGCGUGUGGAGUAUGUCUCCCGAGUUAAUACGACUCACUAUAGGGUCAU